AUUAUAUUUCUUUGAGACAGUGCUGCUUUGGCUAUUUAUGAAAAACAGAGUGAGGGAGAGCAAUGGAGGACGUGAGAAGACCAGUGAUGUCUACUGCCAGAACUUAGAAGUGAUAGACUAGUUAGGUUAGGGUGCUACCUUGGGAAGUGGAGAGAAGUAACUACAUCUGAGAUGUGGUUUUUGGUGUGAGGUCCCAUAGGACUUACUGUUGAGUCAAGGAUGAGUCCCACAUUUCUGACUUGAGCAACAGGUUAUAUGGUGGCGUAUUUACUGAGAUGAGUAAAACUAGGGGAGGAUUGGCUCGGCAGUAGCAAAGGAAUCCCAAACCCAGUUUUAAACAUAUUAAAUUUGAGAUAGCUAUGAGAUAUCCCAGUGGAGAUGCCAAGCUGGCAUUUAGUGAUCUGAGACUGGAGUUCAGAGAUAAAGUUUGAGCUAGACUAGAGAGAGAGCAUUUUGAGCUCUCAGCACAAGAGUAGUAAGUGGGGUUGAGAAGCUUGUGUAGAUAGAGAAGAGCCCUGGGUGGGUUAGUCGAUUCAUAUACCAUAAAGACUGUUAGAGUGUGGGUAGAAGACAAGGGGCCUGCAAAGGAGAGCAAAACGACAGAGACUUAAGGGGAAAACAAGGGGAUUGUGAUGUCAUUGAACCAAGAGAGUAGCCUGAAGAAAGAGAGUUCCCAGCUGAGAAAAAUGCUGCUGAGAGAUCAGGUGGAUACGCACAGAAGAGUAUUCAUCGGUUUAAGCAACAACCUCUUGAGGUCUUCUCCCAGGAACGGCUGCCCAGCAGGACCAGGCCCCCUUCAUGAGCUUGACAAGACCAAAGCAAAGGUGCAAGUAGAGAAAGAAAGGAAUGGCAGGAAGUUUUGAAGAAUGGAUCCUGAGACACUGUAUCUUCCAGUCGUUCCACAGUUGACAUCAGCCUAUGCUCCUUCACGAGAACAGAAUUAAGUGCUUGCUAUCUGAACAGGAGGCACAGCCUACAGAGUGAAGAUUGUACUCUUUUUGAAGUGCCCGAGGCCUACGGUAAUAGUCUCAGUUUACUAGAGUGCCUUUGGGAUCAAUAACUGAGGAAGAAAGGGGGAGGAAGCAGAAUGGAGUAGAAGGAGAAGUGGCGCUGCAAUGUAGGCCUGAUGACAGCCUCAUCCAACCCCACAGGGAGCCCUGGAACUAAAACGGCUCAUCAAGUGAUUCUGCGUUUGGCUGAAACAGCCAGAGUCCUUAUAUCCUCCUCGGUCAUGGGAUAUGGGCUGCCUUGGGAAGGACGUGACCUUGAGCAAGGGGGCUCUCUGAAGCCUGCAGCUGUCAGCCACAUUCCCAGCAGCUGGGACCACAAGUCACUCCUUGAACAGGGAGUCUGGGUGGCCUGUCGUCAUGUCCACCACAGUAGCUUUUGUGAAAGCCUGAUGAGGGAAGCUUCAGAUGCACAGAAGAUCAUGGGUCCUAGGCACCAGCGAGAAUGUGGCAGUGCUUGUACAAGGCAUAUCAUUCAUGGUGAGUGAGAGGGUAUAUGUGUGGUGGUUAAGAGCACAGACUACAGGGCCAGACAACCUGUUUGUAUCCUUGGUUCUGCACUUCCCAGCUGGGUGACCUUGGUCAGGUUGCUUGACCUCCCUGUGCUUCAGUUUCUUCCCAUGAAUUGGGGUCAUACUAGAAUCUGUCUCAUAGAGGUGUCAUAAGAAUUAAACGAAUUCAUGUAGAUAAAGUGCUUAGGAUAGUUUCAUGCCCAGAGCAAGCACUCUAUGUGUAACUGUUGGUAUAGAUAGACAUAGUUUGAUGAAGGCUCUGAGUAAAGAUAGGGGUUUUAGAACCUAUAGAAACAGUGGGAAACUGGAAGGAAGGUGAAGGAUUCCGAGAACUAGAUAUAAAACGAACAAUGAAAAUGACCAAGGAAGCACUAGAGGAUGAGAAAUGAGAGACACAGAGAAAAUAAUAAAAAUGACUCAGAAGAAAAGUGCCCAGGGGCUGGCCACGUGGCUCAGUGGUUAAGUUCGCGUGCUCUGCUUCAGUGGCCCGGGGUUUGCUGGUUGGGAUCCUGGGUGCAGACCUACAAACCCCUCAUCAAGCCAUGCUGUGGCGGCGUCCCACAGAGAAGAACCAGAAGGACUACAACUAGGAUACACAACUAUGUACUGGGGCCUUGGGGAGAAAAAAAGAAAAGAGGAAGAUUGGCAACAGAUGUUAGCUCAGAGCCAAUCUUCCUCACCCCCCCCCCCCCAAAAAACGUGUCCAAUUAAACAUUAAAAUCAAAUGGCAACAGGGGGCUGGCCCCGUGGCCGAGUGGUUAAGUUCGCGUGCCCCGCUGCAGGCGGCCCAGUGUUUCGUUGGUUCGAAUCCUGGGCGCGGACAUGGCACUGCUCAUCAGACCACACUGAGGCAGCGUCCCACAUGCCACAACUAGAAGGACCCACAACGAAGAAUAUACAACUAUGUACCGGGGGGCUUUGGGGAGAAAAAGGAAAAAAAAUAAAAUCUUAAAAAAAAAAUCAAAUGGCAACAAAUUAAAUGAUUUGAGAACAUUACUGCAGAGUUGGUUCUCUGAAUAUUCUGAAUAAGAUCUUACUGGUAGCAAAAUUGCUUCUGAUUCCCACUCCCUCUUCCUCUUUCCAGACAUCCUACUAUAUUUCACCUUCCUCCUACUCACUUUCAAGUCCUAACCCCUUACUGACUAAUUGCUAGAACUGUCACUGUAGGCAUGUUUCAGAUGCAACCUUAGUGCACUCUAUUAAUAGAACGUGAAUGUUGCCCUGAAGCAAGUCAAACAAAAGAUGAGACAAGAAGAUCAAUACACGAAAAAUGAGUAUAAGCACAUUAUCUCAUCAAGUGGUGGCUAAAAGCAAAGCGAAUGUGCUGUAGGAGAAAAUAUCAGUUUAAACCCAUGAGCAUAGUGUUGAGGAAACAGGCCCUCGCAGCCCCAUCAAGCGUCCCAGAGGAAAACCUGAAUUGCUGGGAGUGUAAUAGAACUGUCAAUAGCACACAGAAUCAGUGUCGAUUCUGGGACAGACUGAAGACUAUGACAGUGUUUAUAAAAAUCACAGACUUUUCAAGAUAGAACAUAAAAACAACACCACCACCUCCACAUACUGAACUGACGAUGAUCUUUAUUGUUCUGACUCAGUGAGCGUCCUGCCUCAAUUCCAUCAUGCGAGCUGGACCUCUCCCCCAAAAACAUUUCAGUCCUGCUGUGCUUAUGCUGAGGACUGGAGGAUUCCAUGGUGCUAGCCCCACCCAAACCUGUGAGGAGACAGUUCUCUUUGCUAAGUGUGGUGUGAGUUCUAGGCCAUUUAUUUGCAUUCUUAGCAUGUGUAUGCUUCUGCGCUGCAUUAGAUACUAGAUUUCUCUCCUGGCUUCCCAGCAUAAUAGAACAUCUUUGAAAAGUGGCUAAGCUCUUGAGAAAACUCAGAACCAAAGGAGAGGGGCCGGAAUGAUACCCAAGUUUACAGUCCCAUCUUUAGCUGCUAUGCCAACAGUGGAAGCAUUGUUCUCAUGCCUCCAUUGGCAGGAUCCAUUGUUCUCUGGUUACAACAGGAGUGAGAUAAACAGCAGCUGUGAGGC
ensembl:lncRNA